AGUGAACGCUGGCGGUAGGCCUAACACAUGCAAGUCGAACGGCAGCACAGGAGAGCUUGCUCUCUGGGUGGCGAGUGGCGGACGGGUGAGGAAUACAUCGGAAUCUACUUUUUCGUGGGGGAUAACGUAGGGAAGCUUACGCUAAUACCGCAUACGACCUACGGGUGAAAGCAGGGGACCUUCGGGCCUUGCGCAAUUGAAUGAGCCGAUGUCGGAUUAGCUAGUUGGCGGGGUAAAGGCCCACCAAGGCGACGAUCCGUAGCUGGUCUGAGAGGACGAUCAGCCACCCUGGAACUGAGACACGGUCCAGACUCCUACGGGAGGCAGCAGUGGGGAAUAUUGGACAAUGGGCGCAAGCCUGAUCCAGCCAUACCGCGUGGGUGGAGAAGGCCUUCGGGUUGUAAAGCCCUUUUGUUGGGAAAGAAAUCCAGCUGGCUAAUACCCGGUUGGGAUGACGGUACCCAAAGAAUAAGCACCGGCUAACUUCGUGCCAGCCGCCGCGGUAA
rnacentral:rRNA from 1 species